rnacentral:rRNA from 1 species
GAAUGCUGACAUAAGUAACGAUAAAGCGGGUGAAAAGCCCGCUCGCCGGAAGACCAAGGGUUCCUGUCCAACGUUAAUCGGGGCAGGGUGAGUCGACCCCUAAGGCGAGGCCGAAAGGCGUAGUCGAUGGGAAACAGGUUAAUAUUCCUGUACUUGGUGUUACUGCGAAGGGGGGACGGAGAAGGCUAUGUUGGCCGGGCGACGGUUGUCCCGGUUUAAGCGUGUAGGCUGGUUUUCCAGGCAAAUCCGGAAAACCAAGGCUGAGGCGUGAUGACGAGGCACUACGGUGCUGAAGCGACAAAUGCCCUGCUUCCAGGAAAAGCCUCUAAGCAUCAGGUAACAUCAAAUCGUACCCCAAACCGACACAGGUGGUCAGGUAGAGAAUACCAAGGCGCUUGAGAGAACUCGGGUGAAGGAACUAGGCAAAAUGGUGCCGUAACUUCGGGAGAAGGCACGCUGAUAUGUAGGUGAAGCGACUUGCUCGUGGAGCUGAAAUCAGUCGAAGAUACCAGCUGGCUGCAACUGUUUAUUAAAAACACAGCACUGUGCAAACACGAAAGUGGACGUAUACGGUGUGACGCCUGCCCGGUGCCGGAAGGUUAAUUGAUGGGGUUAGCGGCAACGCGAAGCUCUUGAUCGAAGCCCCGGUAAACGGCGGCCGUAACUAUAACGGUCCUAAGGUAGCGAAAUUCCUUGUCGGGUAAGUUCCGACCUGCACGAAUGGCGUAAUGAUGGCCAGGCUGUCUCCACCCGAGACUCAGUGAAAUUGAACUCGCUGUGAAGAUGCAGUGUACCCGCGGCAAGACGGAAAGACCCCGUGAACCUUUACUAUAGCUUGACACUGAACAUUGAGCCUUGAUGUGUAGGAUAGGUGGGAGGCUUUGAAGUGUGGACGCCAGUCUGCAUGGAGCCGACCUUGAAAUACCACCCUUUAAUGUUUGAUGUUCUAACGUUGGCCCCUAAUCGGGGUUGCGGACAGUGUCUGGUGGGUAGUUUGACUGGGGCGGUCUCCUCCUAAAGAGUAACGGAGGAGCACGAAGGUUGGCUAAUCCUGGUCGGACAUCAGGAGGUUAGUGCAAUGGCAUAAGCCAGCUUGACUGCGAGCGUGACGGCGCGAGCAGGUGCGAAAGCAGGUCAUAGUGAUCCGGUGGUUCUGAAUGGAAGGGCCAUCGCUCAACGGAUAAAAGGUACUCCGGGGAUAACAGGCUGAUACCGCCCAAGAGUUCAUAUCGACGGCGGUGUUUGGCACCUCGAUGUCGGCUCAUCACAUCCUGGGGCUGAAGUAGGUCCCAAGGGUAUGGCUGUUCGCCAUUUAAAGUGGUACGCGAGCUGGGUUUAGAACGUCGUGAGACAGUUCGGUCCCUAUCUGCCGUGGGCGCUGGAGAACUGAGGGGGGCUGCUCCUAGUACGAGAGGACCGGAGUGGACGCAUCACUGGUGUUCGGGUUGUCAUGCCAAUGGCACUGCCCGGUAGCUAAAUGCGGAAGAGAUAAGUGCUGAAAGCAUCUAAGCACGAAACUUGCCCCGAGAUGAGUUCUCCCUGACUCCUUGAGGGUCCUGAAGGAACGUUGAAGACGACGACGUUGAUA